rnacentral:lncRNA from 1 species
AUGAUCUUCAAGGUUCCAUUCAGCUGUGACAUUCUAUAUUCUAAGGAUUUUAGAACUAGACGAGGUCAUCACAUUCAUCCAGGGGCCAUCAGACCACGAUGCCAUGACAGAGUCACAUGUGGUAGCUGGGGAGACCACAGAGUGGACCUUGGAAGCUUAGUAUACCCACCAGAACUGUUAUGCAGAUCCAGUGAGAUAAGAUGGGAAGCAGAUCAUGAUCAUCCAGCCUCCCAAGGCAGUCCUUGUGAAGGCACCAAGGAAGAUGUGGUAAAAAUGUGGAUGGUUCUAUUCAGCCCCUUUCCAUUACCAAAGAAAUCAUUCAAGUCAUCAUACCUUCAUUACCUACUUUGUACCACAGCUAGGAGGAAAAUGCCACUAGAGAGAAGAAACAAAGAGGAAAAAGCUGAAAUGGACAGCUAAGACUUUGAACUUUGUAAAUUUGUUUAUAUAAGAAGAGGACAAAUGGAAAACAGGACUUAUAUGCAAGACUGAGUGUGGCAAAAUCAUAAAACAAAAUUAAUUUCACAUAAUAGGGAAAUAGCAUGUAACACUACAUAACUUGGAAUAAAGAAGAGAUCCGUCAGUCA